UACGCUGGUCACUGCAUUGAAAGGGGGCAUGUACGCUGGUCACUGUUUUGAAGGGGAGUGAAGAACACACACACACAAAAAGGUAACUUGUUAAUUUAACGUUUAUUUCUAUGAGGAGGAGUAAUUCUGAGGGGUCAAACAAAGAAAUAAUAAAAAAGUGACAAAAAAGUUAUUUUUAUAAUGACGAGUUUUGCAGCUCCCAGUUUUUUUUUUCUUCGGAAAUGGGUCCAAGUGGCUCUUUUUGUCUUAAAGGUUGCAGACCCCUGAUCUAGUCCCACCCCUUGCAAUGCAGGAAUAUGCAGCUGUCCCAUAGGGGGAUCAAACCUGCAACCUUAGUGUUAUCAGCACCACACUCCAACCAACAGAGCUAUCCAGGCUGACAUUUUGCCUUCACCGCUCCCUACUGUGUUGUGAUCAUUGCCCUUCCCUGCCCUACAUAUAAACUUCCCCUUCCCAUUAGCAGACUUUGUGACAAAGCACUAAUUGUACACUGCUCAUCAGUUGCGUUCCUUGAUGCACAUUUAUAGAGGGCUUUCCAUUUGCAGAGCAGCUUGUGUUGUAUUUGUUUGUUGUAUUCAUACCCCACCUCUUAACCAAAAAGGUUAAUGAGGCAGCUCACAGCAUAUAAAAACAAAUCACUAUAAAGCAUUUGGAAGCGAGAGAGAAAACAAAUAAUAAGGAAAGCAAUCAGUAACAGAAAUCAAAUAAACAGCAGCAUCAAAACAUGUUAAAAGCAGCAGGGGGGAAAUGGUGCAUUUAUAUUCUUUCUAAAGGUGAGCAAAGGAGGAUCUGGAUGAAGGGACAGGAGGCAUUCUCUGUACAAGGUGCCAUAAUAAAAAAGACCCUGUUCUUCAUUGUCACCCUUCUCUUUUCAGAAGCUGGGGCCAUGCUCAUCUUAAUGGUCAAGCAGCCUUGUGUGAGUACAAGCAGGGGUGGGAGACCUCCAUUUAUUGCUGGGUUGCAACUUCCAUCUUCCUUGACUGUUGGCUGUGCUAACCAGAGCUGGUGGGAGCUAUAGCCAAACAUAAUGCCAAGGUUGCAGGUUUGAUCCCCAUAUGGGAGACCCGUGUAGAGAACAUUGCAAUCAAUCAAUCAAGACUUUGGGCCCAGCUCUACCAUUAAACAGAGUGAGGCAGAUGCAUCAGGCAGCAGAGGAGAUGUGGGCUUUCUUGCCUCACAAACCAAACCAAUUGGUCUGAUUAUGUAUCUUGGCUUUGGUGGGUGAAGGAGGGAGGCACAUGUUGCUUCCUCUCCAGCAGCAGGCAGGGCCUGCUAGAUAUGCAGCAGUUCUCACAACAAUCCUGUAAGGCCAGUAUAUUUAUUGCGAGGGAGGAGGGCUGAAGCUGGGAUAACGGUGUCUUGCCUAAGGCAGCCUAGCGAGAUGUUAAUUCCGGUGAGUUGUGAACCAACAACUUUCUAAAUUGUAUACCUAUUCACUAUGUUGGCAUCCAUGCUGAAGAGGGCGGACUCUAUCCAUAUACAUCUCCACAUGUGAUUCUGAGCCUCUGGAUUCACAUCCCAUAGCAGGUGACUCAGGGUUCAUUCACACUUCACUUGUCCCACAUCUAGAAAGCAUGGGGCAGAGAUGUUUCCCUUGUCGCAUACUCUCUAGGAACAGUUCCAAGUGGUUUUCCAUUUGUGCUGCCACUCUCCCCGGAAAAACACACUCUUUACCAUUAAAUGGUCAACCAGCAAAAAGCCCGAUUGACCUUUACUCCAAUUCAACAGUAAAAAGUGGGAAAGUGGCAGAACAAGUGGAAGCGUGGAUGAAUGCUCAGAGGCAUGUAACUUUCAAUCUGCUGGCACACCUUGCUGCCAGUCUGUAAAAAAAAUUGAAACUGGAGGUGUCAUGAGAAAUGAUGUCAACAAAAGUGGGUACCCCUGUUCAAUUCCUCAUGAGUACAUUCAAGCCAGCAAGCGUCACUUUGACUCAGACAUUAAGUAUCUGCUUCCACGUCCUCCACUACCACCAACCCCAAGAGCCAAACUAUCUUGGGAUAUUGGGGGUAAAAAAUGGAGGCAGGUAGUGGUUUCUUGCUUGAAAGAAAGUAGCAGGUGUAUCAUAUCCCUGGCAGAGCAUUCUUUCUUACUGAGGAUGUAACUGGGAAAGCGCAGCAUCCCUAGAAGGAAAAUGAUGCUGUUCCAUUUCUACCAGGGAGAAAGCCCUUUGGCAUCUAUAUGGUCUUCUCCCUGAUGGAAAUUAGUGCCUAUAGAACCACAUGGGAGUGCUGGGAGCUGUCGUCUGGGUCCCAUUCCAGCAAGAAAGGAUCCUCCACCUGUUACUGCCCAUGCAUCACAUAUGAGUAGCUUCAAGGCUCCUUUCCCCCACCAAAAGGAAGCAUUAUGGGCCCUUGUAGUGGAGGGAGUGGAAAAAUCAAUUUGGCCUCUUGCAAAGUCUCAAGUCUCAAGCACUCAAGCAAAGUUUUGGGCUUUUGCUAGUGCUCAGGCCAAUAUCUGGCAAACACUCGAUCCAUUUCAAGCAAAGGGAUGCUUGUGCAUCCUUCUUUGAAAUGGGAGAAAGUUGCUAGUUUUGCAUAGUGCAUGUGAUUAGCCAAACGCCACCUUCUGACUCAAAAGCCUGAAUUUGAGUUCUGAGCAGAAAACUUUGUAAAUGUUGCUGGAUUUGAAGAGCUUUUUUAUCCAAGGGCAUGCAUAACACUUCCUUUACCAAAAAAAAUUGUACCCUAUGCAAAACAAAUGCACACACACAGAGACACACACAUUAGAUAUACCCAGAAAUGGGCUGUUAGUAUGCAAGAGGCUCCCUGCUGCUGCAUAAUCUGUUAUCACUCACUCUCAGUGCACUUUAUUCAAAGUGUGCACCCAACCUUAGCUUUGCAAAAAAAUAUGCAAAGGUCAAAAUAACAAAUUGCUUAGAGAUUAUAAAAAUCCCAUUUCCCAUUCGCUGGAAUCUAUUCCCAGGAAGCUUCUAGUAAUUUGUUGUUUUCACCUUUCUAUAUAUUUUCAUUCUCUGCUUUGCUGAGGAAACCUGCAAUAUGAGGAUCCUUUCAUUUCCUCCUGCUGCAAAAGUUAGGAUUAUUUUUUUUAAAAAAAAUUAUGAUGAUGAUGACAGGGGAAACCCAUGUAAAACUUUUGGGUUCCAAUCCACUUAAAAUUAGUCAAGACUAACCCUUUGAAAGAGACACGGGUGGUGCUGUGGGUUAAACCACAGAGCCUAGGACUUGCCAAUCAGAAGGUUGGUGGUUCGAAUCCCCGUGACGGGGUGAGCUCCCGUUGCUCAGUCCCUGCUCCUGCCAACCUAGCAGUUCGAAAGCACGUCAAAGUGCAAGUAGAUAAAUAGGUACCACUCCGGCGGGAAGGUAAACGAUGUUUCCGUGUGCUGCUCUGGUUCGCCAGAAGCGGCUUAGUCAUGCUGGCCACAUGACUCGGAAGCUGUACGCUGGCUCCCUCGGCCAAUAAAGCGAGAUGAGAGCCACAACCCCAGAGUCGGCCACGACUGGACCUAAUGGUCAGGGGUCCCUUUACCUUUAACCCUUUGAAAAGAAUAGAACAAGCUGAUCAUGACUAAUGCCAUUGUUUCCAAAUGGGACAAUGUCAAAUUGGACAUGACACCAGACAUAAGAGAAUCUCCCAAGCACAAGAGAUGGGUUAAAGAAGUCACCCCACCCCACCUCCCAGAGCAGCUAGCUCAGUCUCUGCACCUGGCUAGUGUUUCCAGGCUGCUUCAAAGGGUCUUCCAGGACCUUUUAAGCCCACCCCAGGCUAACUCUCAGCUACCUUUCUCCCCACCUCCCUGGCCACCAAAGCAAAUAGCAUCUUGCCUCACCAUGUCAUCUGUCUUGUUUCAGAUAAGCUCAUGUGUUACCUGACAAUUAAGAAGCAAAGAAAAUGGAUAUGAACACCCGUAAGGGACAAGGGAUGCAACUUGCCACCCUACUAUAGCAUGAGUUGGUUGGGAUACAACAGAGCUGUAAUUGAGAUUCUGAUAAGGGAAGGGUACCAUUUAGUAAAGUGUUCCCUCAAACAGUGUGAAUGAUCUGACAAGGGAGAAGAAUGCCAGGGUGGAAUUAAUCACUACCUGAAAACAAUUUCACACUAGACUAAACAGGGGAAAGAUUUUUUUAAAAAACCUCAGAUGCCUUGUAUGGACUGUUUGUAACCCAAGCUUUGGUAAUAAAACAAACAAAAAAUACACAAUUAACAUGAACUGUGACCAAGAGGCUCUCAAUAAGUAAAGACAACAUUCCAAAGGCAGAAAGUGUAAGGAGCAGGCCUAUUCUCGUGAUAAAUGUUUACUGAAAAUGCUGUGGUUGCUCCAUAAUUUCUCCUCAAUUUCUUUCCUCCCAUGAAUUCAAGAUGACCCUACCUGCCCACGGACUGUCUCACCAGAGUGGUGCAUGCUCUAGUCAUUUCCUGCUUGGACUACUGCAAUGCGCUCUAUGUGGGGCUACCUUUGAAGGUGACUUGGAAACUGCAAUUAAUCCAGAAUGUGGCAGCCGGAAUGGUGACUGGGAGUGGCCACUGAGACCAUAUAACACUGGUCCUGAGAGAUCUGCGUUGGCUCCCAGUACGUUUCCGAGCACAAUUCAAAGUGUUGGUGCUGACCUUUAAAGUCCUAAACUGCCUCUGUCCUGUAUACCUGAAGGUGCAUCUCUACCCCCAUCAUUCCACCUAGACACUGAGGUCCAGCACCAAGGGCCUUCUGGCGGUUCCCUCACUGUGAGAAGUGAGGUUAGAGGGAACCAGUCAGAGGGCCUUCUCGGUAGUGGUGCCUGCCCUGUGGAAUACCCACCCGUCCGAUGUCAAGGCAAUAAGCAACUAUCUUACUUUUAAAAGACAUCUGAAGGCAGCCCUGUUUUAAUGCUGUAUUGUGUUUUUAAUAUUCAGUUGGGAGCUGCCCAAAUUGGCUGGGGAAGCCCAGCCAGAUGGGCAGGGUAUAAAUAUAUUAUUAUUAUUAUUAUUAUUAUUAUUAUUAUUAUUAUUAUUAUUAUAUUAAUUAUCUGUGGUUCUCCCCCUCCUCAUUUUAUCCCCCCAACAACCCAGUGAGGUAUGUUAGGCUAAAAGAGACAGUGACCAAUGUCACCCAGCGUGCUCCUUGAUCGAGUGGGGAUUUGGUCUCUCAGGUUCUCAUCCAACACCCUAAACACUAACAUGCCACGAUACCUUGCAUUUUACAGACAUCAAUGACUCAAGUGGAAUGCUGAUUGACAGAUGACAUUCCAUGUAUUAUUUGACAGUGACCUGCUUCUGAUAUUUCAUAUUUGACGCCUGCCAAAAUCAUCAAGAGGUGGAGAAACGUCACUGGAGGAAUCAUUCCAGCUGACCCUCCACCCUCUGCCUUUGGAAGCCUUACAAUACUUGUGAGGGCCCUUUGACCCUUCAGAUGUUGCUGGUUUACAAUGCCUGCCAUUCCUCGCCAUUGGACAUGCUUGCUGGGACUGAUGGGAGUUAUAGAUCAGUAACAGCUGGAGGGCGGAAUGUUCCCAGCGCCUGUCUUCCAGGAAACUGUUGCAGGAGAGGGACUGUGAGCAAUGUCAUGGGAUGAAUGUCUACCUGAAGGGUAAUGUCAAAGGGGCAGCAGCCCUUUGGGAAACCAGGGCCUAGACAUCUGAUCACACUACUGUAGCUUGAUUCUUGGCUAAUUUGUAGCAGACAAAGCAGCAGGGACUGUUAUAUCCAGGACCAAGAUGAAACUGUUCAAGCUCUCUUGCUAUUUUUGCAGCUUCCAGCAGGUCUAAUGCUGCCACAUAUUAUCGUAUUGAAAUGUUAGGGGUUUCAAAUUUUGUUACAUUUGUCGUAUGCUGCUAUUUUACUGUUGCUGUUACUAUGAAAUUAUUCUUGCAGGUGUUUAUUUUGUGGUGCAUUCUUUUUCUCAGUAUUGUAAGCCACCUUGAACAUAAUCUUUUGGAUGGAAAAUGCAGCAUUCAAAUAAAGCAGCAGUGAUGAUGGUGAGACACCGACAGAUUCGGAGAUCUCAAUUUAUGAAGUGCAAUUUCAGAGUCACCUGGAAAAUUCUAUUUUUGGCUUUGAAAUUCAACAUUCACCAGCUAAAUGGCAAAGCUGAAAAUCCCAGCACAUAGUAAAUAUUUUUCAAAUAUUAGUUUUAAUUGUUCACAUAGAUAGCAGGGAAUACAAGAAGAUGGGGGUUGUAAUCUGCUAAAUCCUACUGAGAGUAGACCCACUGAAGUUAAUGAAUCUAAAUUAGCCAUGUCUAUUAACCUCAGCGGAUCUGCUUGGCAUAAAACUUAGUUGAAUACCACCUGUUAUGUUAUGUUAUGUUAUGUUAUGUUAUGUUGUUAUGUUAUGUUUGUUUUAUCUUUUAUGUUUUAAGUUUUAUGUUACUUCUAGUGAUGUGAAACAAAUCCUCUGUUUGUAGGAAUUUGAAAAAGAGGGGGGAAUUAACCAUAAUGAUAGGAGGGGGGCCUGACAAGGAGGAUAGUAACCGUUGUGAGCAGAUCAGUGAGUCAUGAAAAGAGAAAAGCUCCAACUUUAAGAAACAAAGCGUAUGCACAAGCAUUUUUUAAAAAGCCAAUAACAGCACUUUUUUUUUUUUUGCAGGAUCGAUCAGCUGCACUUCAGUAGUCACAGCUUGCUUCUUCCUUUGCAACAAUGCCUGCCAUUAAAGGAUGCACAAAGUCAGGUGAAGGAGGCAAAGAACUUCUUAAGUGAAAAAGACACCUUGCUUCAGGUUCAGAAAAGGCGAACUGCUCUCCUGGUGUGUGUUUUAAAAUGUAUUUUUAAAGCCUAGAUACUUUCUGAUUUUUUAAAAAAUUAUUGAAAACACUUCAUACAGUGUGAUCUGCACACCCAUUGGACACUGGCUCCUCCUAUGUUCUUUUGUUCUUAAGUUUUAAAAAUGUGAGGGAAGAGAACUGAAACUUCCUCCAUUCCAACAAGGCCCAAAAUGGAGAGCAACUUUUAUCAUUUAGUAUACCACCCUAUCUAUAUCAAUAGAUAUAGAUAUAUAGCAUUGAUAGAUUCUUCCUUAUUUCUUGCACAAUGUCUCCCCAGAAGGCUCCCCUCCCCCUCUUUCCCUUUACUUUGACAUGUCCUUUUAUUCAUAUAUAUAUAUAUAUAUAUAUAUAAGCAGAGGGCAAGUUUUUCCUUUUGGCCUUUCACCAAAAAACAACAAUGCCACACUCACCUUCCCACCAGAAAAACUGGGGAAGGGCAGAGGUGGGGGGGGGGGGAGAGAAGGAGAGAGUCAAUGAAUCAAACUUCCAAUAACUGUAUGGAGUAGCUGCAAUUUAUGCAUGCAAGAUAGAGGGAUCUGGAAGGGAGAGAGGGAAAGAACCUGGCUGUGAGUAAUGAUGAGGGCGAGGGUAUCUCUUGCAAAUAAAUUCUGUUGCUGUUGCGUGUUCAGCGCCUGGGCAGUGCAUAGGAGGGGGGUGGUAUUCCGUGCCAAAUGUGUGUAUAUAAAACGCUUCCCAUCUUUCAAUUAGAUUCCUGAUGGGAUCUGACCAGCCUUAAGUUUUGCCUCCUGGCAGAACGGACACAUCGGCUUCAUUCAUCCUGCCCUGUGAAUAACGCAGCCUCCAACGAGGCUGUAAAUCAUUUUAAUGGGAUCCUCAGAUUCAGAUAUUAGGAGCUUCUAAUUUAUCGCUGCUUUAGGAUGAAAGGGUGGGGGAAUCAUUACUGAGCACCUUGGAUGGGCGACGUGCAGCCCUUUUAAUGUAACAUUGGGAGCCUUUGAUAAAUCAUCUGCCACAUAGUAUAUUUUAAGCCUGCCACCCUCCUCUCUCCCUCCCUCCAAUACUUCCCCAUCCUUUGGCCUCUCUACUACCCACUAAAGGGUGACCUCUUGAUUUCAAAUCAUACUUCCAUGUAACUGCUUUGAGGGUUUUGUUUUUAACAAUUGAGCGCUAUAUAAAU